rnacentral:rRNA from 1 species
UACGGGAGGCAGCAGUGGGGAAUAUUGCACAAUGGGCGCAAGCCUGAUGCAGCCAUGCCGCGUGUAUGAAGAAGGCCUUCGGGUUGUAAAGUACUUUCAGUCGUGAGGAAGGUGUUAAGGUUAAUAACCUUAGCAAUUGACGUUAGCGACAGAAGAAGCACCGGCUAACUCCGUGCCAGCAGCCGCGGUAAUACGGAGGGUGCGAGCGUUAAUCGGAAUUACUGGGCGUAAAGGGCACGCAGGCGGUUAAUUAAGUUGGAUGUGAAAUCCCCGGGCUUAACCUGGGAAUGGCAUUCAAGACUGGUUAGCUAGAGUCUUGUAGAGGGGGUAGAAUUCCAUGUGUAGCGGUGAAAUGCGUAGAGAUGUGGAGGAAUACCGGUGGCGAAGGCGGCCCCUGGACAAAAGACUGACGCUCAUGUGCGAAAGCGUGGGGAGCAAACAGGAUUAGAUACC